rnacentral:lncRNA from 1 species
GGGGGGCUCGCCUCGCUAACAACAAGGACGAGGCAAAUGCCUACGUCCAAUCAGUUGGCCUAUUUCCAAGAAUUUCACAUAUAGUUUUUAGAAAAAAUUUCACAAAAUUUCGCAACUCUUUGAGAUGACUACGCAAAUUCAUGGAACCCUGGUGUCGUCUGCUCCGUUCGUUUCCCUUAUCAUGUUGUGAUUGGCUGUUGAAAUUUCAAACACGUUUCCUGAUUGGUGCAUUCAUUAAACACCCGCUGGAGGCUCUGACUGCUAUUUCUGAAAUUAGACACAACGACAGACGAUUUUCCACAUAUCGUGAAGCAACCAGGUUUCCAUGACUGCUGUAAUACCUCCACGUCUACGGUUCACGCCCUCAAACCUUCAAUGGAAAUUCUAAAAUCCUUUAGUCGCUUUAGUCAAGUCGCCAUGCUUGGGACAAGUACAGACGAAGCCAUCGAGUUGUCAGGUUAUAUACAUAACGAGUUUGAAUGAAACAAUAAAAACACAGAAACAAAAUUAAAUAAAAAGUGUUUUACCUUAUCCUUAUCCGGACGUGCAGUCAAGUUUCUCCCAGUAUUCGCAAGAUGAAACUGGAUUAGUGGCCAAGAUUUAAAAAUUACUGGCUAUGAUUUGAAAUCGAAGAUGAGAAACUGAGAAUGGCAUGCAAUAAAAACAGUUCUACGAAAUUAAAUACAAAAACUAUAAUUGCAAUUUUUAGAUGAACAUUUUAUCAGUGAACAGCUAUUUUCUGAUAAAAUGUUCAAAAAAUGACCGUAAUUUGAACGACAUUAUAUACUUCAAACACUAAUUUACUCAAAAAAAUUACUGCGACGAAACACACAUACAACUUGCAACUGUGUGGUUUUUUUAGCAUGUUGGAUGAUUUUAGAUGGGUUUUAUACUAGCUCAUUAUCUCAAAUACGAUAAGACGCUUCACAGCGUAUGAACCACGUAGAUUUAUGGUAACCGACGAAUGUUAGGUUGUGUAAGGUGAAUUGUCACAUGUUUUCACAUACUUGUUGACGUGAGACGCAGCAUUUUGUACUUGAUAUUCUAAGAAUGAUAUUUAAGAAUAUUUUCCACAUAUUUUGUCUUUGAUUUAACUAAACUGUCGUCAAACUUCCUCCAUUCAAUAUUCUAUGGCAAUAAUUUGGUACCAUUUUUCGGUCCCCCAUAAAUGUUCGUUAAAAUCACCCAAUUCUGUAUCCCAGCUAUUUCUAUUUUCCAUUUUCUUAUGCUGUUUCUAAAAGAUAAAGCUAUCUUGCCAACGCUAUCUGCACUGCUAUCGCUUACGAAAUAAUUAAGGCUCGGCCCCGUGUCCAAUCGGUAGGUAUUUGGGCGAAUGGGUAGGUCUUCUCGGCAAAAAAAUUGGAUCCGGUGGGUAUCGGUUCUUGAGACUUUGUGCCUACUACCUACCCGGUUUUCAUGUGGGUAACACAAUAUCGAAAACCGUUUCCAUUACCCGGUUAGCCCCGAUUUCCUACCCGAUUACCCUGGUUUCCCCCUGAAAUCAAGUCACGCGCUUUGAAUUUCCGCCACAAAAACUUUUUUUUUGCUAAUCGCCCUUUUAAUUUAACUUGGCGCUUUGCAAGCCGCCAUUUUCCAAGAUUGCGGUGGGUAUACCCGGUUUGCCCAUCAAAUCCGCCCAGCCUACCCAUUUUGGCAAAUAGGCUACCCGGAUCGCCCAUGGGCAACUAUUUUUGGCGACGAUCCGGGGGUAACCCGGGUUUUCGAGAACCGGGGCCGAGCCCUAGAUAUAAUAUACCAUAAAUAUAUCAUAAAAUAUGCAGCAGUGGCACCACCUACUUUCAAACCUAACUGGAACCCUAGCCAAAAAGAAGUAGAAGUCGGGUUUAUUUAUUUUGUCGGGCUUAUUUUCCUAAUAGAAUUUCCGCUAGAUGGUGAUACAGUACUUUUCAAAACAAUUGGCAAAAUUGAGGUAGUCUAAUAGUUCGCCUGCUUCGGAAAUAGUUAAUCUGCUGCAGGAGUAGGUUUGAUGUAAGCACGUAAGUUUUUAAUUUUUAAAAGAAAAUUUGGUUUUUAUAAUUUAAAAUCGCAGUAAAGAAGCAAAAUUACGGAACGCCGUUUGAUAAAUUUUUUUUAUAGACAUAUCUUAUCGCUAGCUGAUCGUUUAUGUAGCAAAUAAAUAGCUAACUAGCAUUGCCAUUUAACGGUAAAAAAUGACACUAAUAGUAGGAAUUUGAAUAGACCACGCCUUCAACGAAGGAGGAGUCCACUACAUAUUGAACUUAUCGAUCGAUUGUUAGGCCCAUUCGAUCGCUACUGUAAAAUCAAUGGCGGCAUCAGGAAAUGGAAGGAUGCAUGUGCGAAUUGAUGUGGCGUUGCAUGUGGGAGGCCCCGUCUGUAACGUUCGCAGACUGGUCAUUUGAUGAUACGUGUGCACAGCGGUAGUGCUUGGUUGCCUCAAGAGGGAAUAGCAGAGCAUAGCCACCCAUAGAGCUAAAAGUCAUAGAAGAUUUUAAAAAUUGUUAUUUGAUUUUGUGUUGUUUCAGCAGUAGUAUGUCCUUCAACAAUCUGUUAUGUCCAUCCAUGGAAUGAGUGGCAUGUGACCAAGUCAACCAAACGGGGCAACAACAAUUAGUCAGCAAUGGAAUUAGUCUGUGGAAAACAACACAUUCAUUCCUGAGUAUGGUUUUGAGUUUAUCUAUGCUUAUUAUUCACAAUCGUAAUGGAUUUGAAGAGGAUAUUGAUGGAGUUUUGGUAUAAAAAAGUUUAAGUUCAUGUUCGUUGGAAGGGCAACCGAAGAGUUCCGGAUCCUUUUACUAUCGCACAUGUUAUGGUAUUUUUACAAAAUCAUGAAGUUCUUGUCUGGACCCCCUUGUUUUCUGUGGCCGUGUUUCCCCUUGACUUAUAUUAUUUUCUUUAACCCUAUAGUGUGUGUAAAACUAAAGGCUAAAAGAAGAAGAAUGAUUCAAAAAUUGUGGGAGAGAAUCAUCCAAGAAUUAUACUCGUUUAGGUAAUCCAAGGAAAUAAGAGAGUAUUAACUCGGCGCAGUCUUCGAUUUCAUCUUUUCAAAAACUGUUUUUACUGUGCACGGGAAUUUUUUGGUCGAGACGUUAUGGAGGUCUUUAAGGCACUGAAGGUUGCAUUAGAUCCCCAACAAAAAGGGAACGCUGAAAAUCCCAGGUGGCGAUGGUAAUUAGUGGCAAUGUUAUGGUGUAGGUAACUUCAGAAAGUGUGACGCUAGCUGAUGUAAACCGCACCAGCCGUGCUAUUACCGAGUCUGUCUCAUGUUGCCGCCUAGCAGGAAAAGGUUGUGAAAGUAGCAGAAGAGGUAACUGCAGUAAACCUGGUUUUGAAAGAAGCCAAACAUUCCAAUGAUAAGGGAGCUCAGCCUGUGGAAACAAAAACCCCAUGUUUCAGAUAUAAACUAUCUUGACAAACCCAAAGUUUCACACAUAGAUCUGCUUAAACAUUCUUUGUUUCUUAAAUUUUUAUCGACAUCAGGAAAGACGAAAGGAACACAUCGUUCCUCAGCUACUUCUGAGGACCACUGUCACCGAAGGAAAAUCACCUCGCUUAUAGACGCGGAAGGUGAAUUAAGCGAGACCCACAAAUUUGCAACAACGAAGCUAGCAAGACCAUUCGCUUAAAACGAUAUUAUGUCCUCCACUGUUAGUUACAGACGACAAUUUAUGUCUUGAAAAUAUACAGGAAAUGUCAGCUGAUCCAUUUCGCGUGGCUUCGGACUGAGGAUGGCUGCUGAAACGAACGUCUCUCUUUUUGAAAUUUUAACACCGAUUCCGUGUGUUUUCAGUUGCAUCUUGUGAAUUCCACCAAUGCAGAGUUGUUCAAGGAGGAACAUGGAUUGGCUUUGCUAUCACGUUUUUCAAUCUCCGUUAGUCUGAUAUACCCAUUUUGUUUCAAAGGUCUUUGGGAUGUACCUGAUGUACUGUGGUGGCUGCAAAAUCAUUCAGUGACUUGGUUCAAUCCAGGUCUUGGUUUUUUCAAUAGUGGUUUACAGUUAUAAUUUGCAGAGAUCCUGGAGGCACCUGAUGUGUUUCAUUGGCGUUGGAGUCACUCGGUGAUAGAAGAAAAUGCCACUAAUGUUAUGUUGUUAGUGUAAAUAAAACAUAUCCAGUAUCA